AAGAGAUUGAUUGGGAAAGUUGAGGCAGAAAUGCAGUUGAAAACUGGGUCUAUUGACACUGUAAUUGCUGAAACUAAAUGUGUCCAAGCAGCAGCUCUUGUUGUGCAGGGAAUAACUCCUGUCAGCAGCAAGGCCCCCACUGAAGUGGCAGCUGCAGUUGUUCCUGUGGUGUGGGCCAGUGGAGCUGCAGGAGAGUGGAAGAGGGCAGAACCUGUAGGUAUUACCCCUGAUGUGGGAUCUCUAUGGGACGUGAAUGCAAGAACCUGCCAAGAAAACCAGUGGACAAGAUGAUUGAUUAGUGCAGGACCUGAGAGAAGCACCUUGAAUGACAACCUGGAGGAGUUUCCAGUAUUGGAUUUAAAAGAUGGCCUUUGCAUCUCCUUGAGCGAGGAAAGCCAAGAAAGCUUUGCUUUUGCAGGAGAAAAUGGGGCAAGCAGGCAGGAAGAAGAGAAGCCCCGUGACUCCUCCCUGAGCCCCAGACAGCCCAUGAACUGCCUUGCUGGGAAUGGUGGGACGGGCUGGACUCUGCAUUGCUCCCUCGGGAUGUGUGGCUCUCCCCUCAGGAACUGCAGGAACUCCUGGUGCCGCCUGGGCCGAUGGAUUGGACGCCCCAGCCCCUCCGUUCCUGCCCAGCCACUGGGGCCGUGUCCAGUGGUGGCACUGCCAGCCCUGCAGGUGAAGUGGGAAGGGCCUUUGCAGGUCUUGUGGGUCACAUUUAUAGCAGGUAAAGUUGCAGAAAAAGGACCUGGGGUCUGUUAUUCUUGAGUUCAGAAAGCUCCUUUUGGUUGGUGAGCAGGACAAAGUG